CGCAUGGAAGAGCACUGUGCAGGAACAUAUCAUCUCAUCCUGUAUAAGUCCUGCGCAGCUGCAGACCUCUGCAAGGGAAUGCAGACUUUGGCAGACGGCACUGGAUGCCUGCAGUAGAGCAGUAGAGAAUAGAGCUGCUCUAUUUUUGAGUCCUGGUAUGCUGCCUGAUAACAGGGAAAUCAAAGCAACUCCAUAUUGCUCCAGAUCAUCUGCACUGCAUGGUACAUGGCCAAGAAAGCUUCUCCUUCCAGACGCUUGCGAUGAGUUUCCCAGAGGAAAGUCAUUUUCAAUGACAUCCUAUCCAAUCAAGAAAGAACACACAGAACUUACUCCUGUUAUCUACUUUGUGACAUUGUCUUCUGGAUUUAGAGAUAUAUGGCAGGAGGAACAGGAGUGUGAGGGUUCCCUGAAAAGCUCCACAAGAGCAUAACCAUUCCCACUCAGGAUGACAACUGUGAAGCUUGACAUCACUUCUGAUUUCAUCUUCAGAAGAUCCCAAUGGAUUAGCUGAGGGCAGCUAAGGAAGGAGAAGAAUUUUCAGCUGUGGUCUCAACAAAUGAUGUUCUUAGGGGAAACAAUAAAAAAC
ensembl:lncRNA